AUUGAACGCUGGCGGAAGGCCUAACACAUGCAAGUCGAGCGAGCGGCGGACGGGUGAGUAAUGUAUGGGGACUGCCCGAUAGAGGGGGAUAACUACUGGAAACGGUAGCUAAUACCGCAUACUAUCGGAUAACCCAUAUGGGAUUAGCGAGUAGGUGAGGUAAUGGUUCACCUAGGCGACGACCCCUAGCUGGUCUGAGAGGAUGAUCAGCCACACGGGGACUGAGACAUGGCCCAUACUCCAACGGAGGCAGCAGUGGGGAAUAUUGCACAAUGGCGAAAGCCUGAUGCAGCCAUGCCGCGGGUAUGAAGAAGGCCCUAGGGUUGUAAAGUACUUGCAGUCGGGAGGCUUUACCGCCAGAAGAAGCACCGGCUAACUCCGUGCCAGCAGCCGCGGUAAUAC
rnacentral:rRNA from 1 species